rnacentral:rRNA from 1 species
UGGGGAAUAUUGCACAAUGGGCGCAAGCCUGAUGCAGCCAUGCCGCGUGUGUGAAGAAGGCUUUCGGGUUGUAAAGCACUUUCAGUGGGGAGGAAAGGGUGUACGUUAAUAGCGUGCAUCUGUGACGUUACCCACAGAAGAAGCACCGGCUAACUCCGUGC